rfam:Picea glauca, whole genome shotgun sequence.
AUGUAAAUUCCUACAACAUAGUGUUAAUGCACCAGAUCCUAUUAGAACUCUGUAGUUAAGCACACUUAGGCUAGAAUAGUAAUUGGAUGGGUGACCGCCUGAGUAUUCCUAGUGUUUUACAUG